AAUAAGCUAGUAAUUUUUGAGUAAUACUAUUGGUUAUAGUUCCGUCAGUCAAGUACGGAAAAGAUGCAGUCGCCAUUUUACAUCGUCGAUUUUUACGUGUGUGUUCGGUGCAGUUACUUUAAGAAUUCAAUUCUUAUUACGUGGUCAUAAAACGUUUAGUGGCGUAUUUUUACUAAUUUUCACUUGGUAAAAGUUGAUAAGAAAAUAUGGGACGCAAAAAGAAGAAGCAAUCAAGGCCCUGGUGUUGGUAUUGUAACAGAGAAUUUGAAGAUGAAAAAAUUCUUAUACAGCAUCAAAAAGCAAAACAUUUUAAAUGUCAUAUCUGUCAUAAGAAACUUUACACGGGACCAGGACUUAGUAUACAUUGUAUGCAGGUACAUAAAGAAGCAAUAGAUAAAGUACCUAAUUCUUUGCCAAAUCGAAGCAAUAUUGAAAUAGAAAUUUAUGGUAUGGAAGGCAUACCACCAAAUGAUGCAAAGGAGCAUGAAAGACAAAGAAAUGGAGGUAGACCUGGUUCACCAAGUUCUGGUGAAGAUGAACCAGUUCGAAAGAAAGCAAAACCAGAAGGUUUAUUAGGUUCUGCACCAGGAGCAAUGCCUACAGGUUCCAAUAUGAUGCCAGGUGUAAUGCCAGGUAUGGCGGCUCAUCCUGGUAUGCCACCAAUGGGAUCGUUCCCACCACCCAUGCAUCAUAUGAUGGGACCUAUGGGUCCUGUAGGUCCACCUUUCAUGGGUCCUGGUAUGAUGCCUGGAAUGGCAGGUAUGCCUCCAGGUAUACAACAACCAGUAUCAGGUGCAUCCAUACCACCAACACGACCAUUAUUUCCAAGUGCUGCAGCUGUUUCAACAGCUACAUCGACAGCUGUGUCUUCUCCUCUGGGUACAGAUUUUAAACCAAUUACAUCAGUGGCUGGUGGAUCUAUAGGACCUGUUAAACCAACAUUCCCUGCAUAUAGUAAUGCAGAUAGUAAUACCACCACUAAUAAUAAUAUUGGAAGCGAUCAGAAAGUAAAUCUUAUAGCUACUACUAGUGCUGCCAUUAAAAUUAUUCAUCCUCCAGAAGAUCUUAGCCUAGAGGAAAUUAGAGCACGACUUCCAAAAUAUCAGCGGCGACAAACUCAAGAAACUCGAACUGUACAAACCGCUGAUGCUAGUCAGCAAGCUGCUGUAUUGCAGCAGCAACAACAACAACAGCAGCAACAGCAGCAACAACAAGCUGCUGCUGCUAAUGCAGCUGCUGCAUUUCAGGAUCAACAACAACGUCAACAAGCGGCAUUAAAUGCACUUCAACAACAACAACAACAAAGAUUUCAGCGACCCCCACAAGCAGUAAUGGUUCCUGCGUCUGCAGCAAUGCCUGUUAGUUCUGUUGCAUUGAUGGCUCCGCUUAUGCGGCCAACUAUGACUCUAGCCGCACCUGCUCUGAUUCAUGGAGGUAACAUGAUGCGACCGCCCCCCAUGGGCCUACCACCAGGGCGCCCAGUCACUCCUUGGUGAGUGUUGAACGAACCCAGUCUGGUUACUAAAACCGUGUUUUAUACAAGCGCAACAAGGUGGGUCGAGCGGCCAACGAUAUUGCAUCUGUUCUGAUUCCUUCAACGCCGGACAGCCACACUUUGAUUUUGGAUACACGAGUCUUUGGACGUGAAAUGCCUCUUCUUGAAACUAGAGUAUUCGGUAUCGGAAGCACGAUUACGCUAGAUUUAUAUUUUUAUAAUCGCGGUAUAUAUAUAUGUAUAUAUAUACAUAUAUAUAUACAUAUACACAUAUGCCUGCUUUUCAAUUACGAUAGAAAAAUACGCGUUUUGUAUAUAUUCAUAGAUAUUUUUUUCUCGAUGGAUAAAAACUCUACUUUGAAAUUGAUUCGAUUUUCGGCCGCUCGGCUGGUUCAUCAUCGCAUAAUAUGAUUUUUUUUCCUGUUUUA